UAAUACGUAGGGUGCGAGCGUUAAUCGGAAUUACUGGGCGUAAAGGGUGCGCAGGCGGUUCUGUAAGUCAGAUGUGAAAUCCCCGGGCUUAACCUGGGAACUGCGUUUGAAACUACAGAGCUAGAGUGUGGCAGAGGGGGGUGGAAUUCCAUGUGUAGCAGUGAAAUGCGUAGAGAUAUGGAAGAACAUCGAUGGCGAAGGCAGCCCCCUGGGUCAACACUGACGCUCAUGCACGAAAGCGUGGGGAGCAAACAGGAUUAGAUACCCUGGUAGUCCACGCCCUAAACUAUGUCAACUAGUUGUCGGGCCUUAUUAGGUUUGGUAACGUAGCUAACGCGUGAAGUUGACCGCCUGGGGAGUACGGUCGCAAGAUUAAAACUUAAAGGAAUUGACGG
rnacentral:rRNA from 1 species